UAGAAAAUAAUAUAGAGGAAGUAUGAGGAGUUUUGAUCUCUUUUGUGCAGGUUCAAAUCCUGCUUUUCUAA
rnacentral:tRNA from 1 species